AAAAGCAGAUCUCCUGUUUUGUCCUUUAUAAUUCUUGAUACUGACCCUGCUCUGCUGUAGCCAUGACGACCAUGCUGCUGAGCGCACUAGGAGCACUGCUCUGCUCCUUGGUUGUCACCGCUGAGGUCAUGCCGCAAGGAGACUUCAAUCUACAGGGGGUAGCAGGAAAGUGGUACGUGAUUGGAUUUGCCACUAAUGCCCAUCAACCACAAGGCCAGCAUGAAGAUGGGCAACGCCAUGCUGACACCAACUGCUGAUGGAGACCAGGAAAUGGCAUAUUCUAGCCGGAAGUAAGAGAGAAAGAGAGAGACAUUGUGCUGAUUCUGUAUUAACUGUAUUGUCUCUGUAGCGCUGAUGGCUCCUGCUGGAGAAGGAACCACCUGGCCAAGAAGACACUUCUGGGGGAAAUUAAUCUUCAAGAGCGAGUGCUGGAGUAAUGAAAAUGACAUGCGUGUCGUUGAUGUUAAGUAUGACGAGUAUGCUCUUAUUCACACCAAGACCAAGGGUGUUUCAGCUGUGCUCACCAACCUGUAUGUAUAUUUAGUGUGCCAUGUAUUGUACCGUGGGACAGACCUGAGCCCUGGCCUGCUGCAGAAGUUUAGGCAGUUCUCCCUGGACACUGGCUAUCCUCCCCAAAAAAUGAUACAGCUCAUCUGUACAACCCAUUUGUGAAGUAUGUUUAUGUUGCACAAUAUUUCUUGAUAGAAGUGUGGAAUGUUUCAGACAUAGUUAUCAACCGUAUUUCUCUCUUUCUGCAGAUGAGUGUCCGUCCUGCUGUGAAAUUUCAUCCAUGUUUUUUACUUUCUAAACGUGCUCCCUUGAUCAGUCUGCAUGGCAUUGCUACUCGGCCGGUAGACCCAUGGCAACUGUGGCAACCAUUUACCACCUUUAGCUCCGUUGGCCCAUCAGGCUCCACCUUCACUAGGCAAUUCAGAUGCAAGUUCAUCCCAGCGUAGCUGUAAACUCUGUUAGUUUUUCACUUCUCUGACUUGCUCCAAUGAAAUACUGUCUCGUGCUUUUUUCAGUUUGUCAGUCACUCUACUCGUCGGAUGACUAGAAUAUGUUGGGUAUUUAAUACCUCUGAUCCUAAGAUAGCUGCUUUAGAAGUCUGUGUUGAUCAAAUGUAAUGUAAACCCAGCUCUAAAAGUAACCUUGGUGUACCAUCAUUCUAUUGAAAAUGUUAUCCUACUUCUUGCAAGUACAUCCAUAACACAGCUCUUAUUCCUCCUUUUGUUAAGGGUUUACAUCUACACUCUUUAUUUACAAAUGUGUACAAAACAAUAAUUUACCUCCUAUAGAAUUCUAGUUACACUGAAUUAUACAACAAAGUUCAUGAUGAUGAAAUAAAUAUAACAACAAAAAUGAUCACAGGGGAAGGGACUGUCGAAGCAAAUAUACCACCAGUCUUUACAAGUUGUAUUAUCCUCAGGGGACUAAUGCCUCUCCCUGGCCACUGGCAUAAGUAGAUGUGUGUUUGGGUAAAGGAAGUAUGUUGUGGCCAUGAGUCUGUGGUACCAGAUCUAGUGCAAUCUAACUCUGAAGGCCUUGCUGGCGCUACAUCCUAUUUCAGGUGUCUGAUAAUCAAGCUUAUUAGGGGUUAAAUAAACUGU